AUUGAACGCUGGCGGCAUGCCUAACACAUGCAAGUCGAGCGAGCGGCGGACGGGUGAGUAAUGUAUGGGGACUGCCGGAUAGAUGGGGAUCACUACUGGAAACGGUAGCUAAUACCGCAUACUAUCGGCUACCCCAUAUGGGAUUAGCUAGUGGGUGAGGUAAUGGCUCACCUAGGCGACGAUCCCUAGCUGGUCUGCGAGGAUGAUCAGCCACACGGGGACUGAGACACGGCCCAGACUCCUACGGAGGCAGCAGUGGGGAAUAUUGCACAAUGGACGAAAGCCUGAUGCAGCAAUGCCGCGUGUAUGAAGAAGGCCCUAGGGUUGUAAAGUACGUUCAGUCGGGAGGCGUUACCGACAGAAGAAGCACCGGCUAACUCCGUGCCAGCAGCCGCGGUAAUUC
rnacentral:rRNA from 1 species